GCCCCGAUAGCUCAGUGGAUAGAGCAGUAGCCUUCUAAGCUAUUGGUCGGGGGUUCGAGUCCUCCUCGGGGCGCCA
rnacentral:tRNA from 1 species